AAGGCGGGCGGAGCCGAAAACCAAACAAACGACUUCUGAGAGAUUGGGGGCGGGACUGACGGCGGCCGGCUUAGCUUCCAGAACCAAGGCCUUCCGCCGAGUUGGUUUUUGGGUUGUUGAUCGCGGUGGCCGGGCGGUCUGCGGUCGGGCUGAGACGCGCGGAGCAAUGGCGACCUUUGUGAGCGAGCUGGAGGCGGCCAAGAAGAACUUGAGCGAGGCCCUGGGGGACAACGUGAAACAAUACUGGGCUAACCUAAAGCUGUGGUUCAAGCAGAAGAUCAGCAAAGAGGAGUUUGACCUUGAAGCUCAUAGACUUCUCACACAGGAUAACGUCCAUUCUCACAAUGAUUUCCUCCUGGCCAUUCUCACGCGUUGUCAGAUUUUGGUUUCUACACCAGACGGUGCUGGAUCUUUGCCCUGGCCGGGUGGUUCCGCAGCAAAACCUGGGAAACCCAAGGGAAAGAAAAAGCUUUCUUCUGUUCGUCAGAAAUUUGAUCAUAGAUUCCAGCCUCAAAAUCCUCUCUCAGGAGCCCAGCAAUUUGUGGCAAAGGAUCCCCAAGAUGAUGACGACUUGAAACUUUGUUCCCACACAAUGAUGCUUCCCACUCGAGGCCAGCUUGAAGGGAGAAUGAUAGUGACUGCUUAUGAGCAUGGGCUGGACAAUGUCACCGAGGAAGCUGUUUCAGCUGUUGUCUAUGCUGUGGAGAAUCACCUUAAAGAUAUACUGACGUCAGUUGUGUCAAGAAGGAAAGCUUAUCGGUUACGAGAUGGUCAUUUUAAAUAUGCCUUUGGCAGUAACGUGACCCCGCAGCCAUACCUGAAGAAUAGUGUAGUAGCUUACAACAACUUAAUAGAAAGCCCUCCAGCUUUUACUGCUCCCUGUGCUGGUCAGAAUCCAGCUUCUCACCCACCCCCUGAUGAUGCUGAGCAGCAGGCUGCACUCCUGCUGGCGUGCUCUGGAGACACUCUACCUGCAUCUUUGCCUCCGGUGAACAUGUACGACCUUUUUGAAGCUUUGCAGGGUCUCACUGUCACCCCAGCUGGAGUGUUGUGGUGUGAUCAUGGCUCACUGCAGACUGGACCUCUGGGCUCAGACACGGUUUUACCAUGUUGCCCAGUCUGGUAAUGAACUCCUGAGCUCAAGCCAUCUGCCCACCUUGGCCUCCCAGAGGUUAGGAUUACAGACCUGAACUACUGCACCUGGCCAGGGAAAAGCAAGCAGAAGCUAUUAUUCUUACUCGCUGGUGGCAUACUGUAGACAGCUCCAGGACUGAGACCCAAGGCCCGGAGGACACUGUACUGAAGGCACACUUAGUGCUCUCCCUGUGUCACGGUCUUACAGGCCAGCAAAAGACAUCGUCUUCUUCCUCCAAGUUGCUGGAGAUAUGGCACUUCUUGAAUCCUUGGACGAUGGACUCACUUGAGAUGCUAUUCCAUGCGACCAUGACCCACUCCAGAAAGAGGCCCAGGGGUGGCUUCUUAGCAUUCCCAGUUGGGCUCAGCGCCAGGUUCCCAGCCAGAAGCCAGUUGGAAUACUGGGCCCGCACACUGUCAUUCAGUGGCUUGUAGACCACAACAUCCAGCACCUGAAGCUGUGAGGUCAGACCCCCUGGGAUGAUCACCAUGUCAGUGUUCAUGCUUUCCAUGGAGUUCUUCACGGAAUCUGUGGCAUGGCCCCGGAAGCCAUUCAAGAUCAGCAUCCCUCGCUGCUUGGGCACCGCUCCUGUCCUCCGUCUCCACACCACUUCCAACCAGUCCUGCAUCAAGUCUUCAGUCAUCCACCCAUACCGGUGGCAGCGGAUUUCCAUCCCACUGGGAAACUUUCCCGGGGGGAUAUACGUUCCCCUCAAAAUGAUGUACGGUGGUAACUUCCUCCCAUCAGCCAAGACACCAAGCAUUGCUGUGAUUUUCAGUUUUUCCCUGCCUGGUGUCUUGACCAAGACAGGCUUUUCGCCCUGGUUAUCAACAGUUACCCGUGACGGCACCUCUAAACAAAUGGGCGUCUCAUCUGCAUUCCCCAUCUGAGCUAUCUCAUAGUCAUGCGCCCUGCGCAGAGCCAGGACACUGCGCUGGUAAGUGACGAGUUUCUCAGUCAGGUCUUCUGGCAGGUGCUGGGGCACGGGCACUUUAUGCCUCAGAGACAGGUCAUACCUUCUCAUCAUUCUUCGACACCAACCCAAGCUUGCCUUGAACCCUUUCUCUGGAAUGUUCAUUUCCUGGGCGAUUUCGAGAGCUUUCAGCUGCAUCGCCUCCCGGGUGAUGGGGUCCCCUUUGGCCUGCAUGUAUCUGACAUAUUCGGCCACACGCUGGUCCACCAGAGCAAACCUCCCAUUCUUGGGGCCUCGGAAUGCCCGCCGCAUGGCGUGGGCAUUUUGAAGCUGUGGCUUCACUUUGCGCCAGUCUCGAACGUUUUUUUCCAAUACUCCAAACUGCUUGGCAGCCUGGCAGUUGUUGGUGCUCUCGGCAUAUUCCACCACCAUCAGCUUGAACCCUGCGUCAUAACUGCGGCGCAUGCCCCGGCUGAACUGAAACUUCCCAGCUAUGUCAUCAGCCGAGAGGUCAUACCCUGGGAAGCCCAUGGCCAUGUAGAAGGGGUACCCCUCAGUCCAUUCGGGCAGCUCUGUGAUAUCCCGAGGCAGACGGAGGCCAAAGCUGUCAAAGUGCUGAGGCUGAGGAAACUGGGAGGUAGCAUUCAUUGGGUUUGGCCAGUCUGGAGGCUUUACAUCAGAUUCUUCAUUUUCUGGGAGACAAAUAAUGAGGGGCAAAAAUAAUGCCAGUAAGUAAAACGGCUUAUACCCUGAUUUUUGGGGGUUGAAAUGCUAAGAAUACCUUAAUCUGAAGUUCACCAAAAGUAGUAACUUUAAUAACAGGUAACAUUGCCUAAGUCCUUAUCCAUACGCCAGUUUAUAUGGACUACCCACACCUAGUUCUCUUAAUAACUCUUAAGUAUCACUGUUCCCUCUUUGCAGAUGAAGAAGGGGAGGCUACAGAGGUUACAUAAUGCACCAAGGUAGCCAAGCCAGAAAGUGGCAGAGCUGGGAACUGAACAGAGGCACCAAGCUUGGACCAAAUAAUUUGGGGGCCAUGUUUGCAUCAAAAUACUUUUUAUGUGAAUGAGAAGCCAAAUGUUAACCAUACUACCAUAUAAUAUUACAGAGAUGCAUCAUGGCCUGAAUCAUAUCCCUUUAGAACCAGGAAAACCUAUAGCAAAAACUACACUUAGCAAAGUUAAGCUUAUAAGGCAGAAAAUUAGUUCUUGCACAUUAACGGUGGAACCGGGUUUCACUUUAUAUUUAGAAGGUGGUCACAGAAGUUGAGUAUGAUUUGGGGAAAUUACCCUAUCUCACCCAAACUAAAAUGUCAUCAGUUGUAGGAUGCAUCAUUAUGUGCCACUAAGAAAGAAAACACUACUAAUUAAGCUAUGACAUGCCACUGAUUUUAAGAGGCAUUCUCAAUUUCAGAGACAGUAAAGCAAUGGGAGAAAAACAUGUCUCAGAGUCAGUGAAAUAUGGCAUUUUAAACUCUUACUUCCGGAGAAAAGACAAAACUAUUUUGGCCGUCUGGAGGCAAUGCCAUAUUUAUUCAACUGCGGCCUCAAUAACCAUUUUUCUUGACAAAGGACUAGGUACUUCUUAGAUACAUUUGCUCAAAUGUAUGCUAUGACUGCUAUUGCUUUUUCUAUCCAGUAUGAGAUGGACAGGGAGCCAGGUAACUCAGGAAGCAUGCUUCCUCUCACUAUUCUUAGUUUGCAGAGGCACAUGGUACGCUACUGAGGUAGCCCUGUUCAGCCAGAAGGUGCACUGGACCAAACACUGCACAAGCCUCAUUUUGUUUCAUCCACAAAGAAGGUCAUACAUCGAGUCUUUUUACUCAGAGCUGACAGAGGAAGAAUGGAAGCUCUGAAGUAAAAGCAGUUGCCUGUUAACACAUUGUCACACAUUUAGCACUGCAAAGAGGGAGAUUUCAAAACUCCAAAACCCAUAAUCCUUCUACCUCUUAAAUACCCCAUGGAAUGUACACUGAAAAUCCCACUUCACAAUGUUCCCAGCUGGAUGGACACUGAACUGCUUUACUUGUAGUACCUGCAGAGGUGCCUCCUUGGAGCUGCCACUCGUCAGAAUUCUGAGACUCCUCCUCCCCUUCCAAACGGGUGAUCAUGUCUGGCUUAGGGAAUGGGAAUUCUGUUUAUAGGAAAUAAAAUAGGUAACAGCUGUGUGUUACUGUCCUGGAGCACUACCAAAAUAAGUACUUUAAAAUACUUAAGAGCCACUCUCCCCUUCUUUGUGAAAAACAAGGGGAAAAAGGCUCAGGGAUACUUCAAGAAAAAAGAUAAUGGAACAUAUGUCUCUCUAAGGGAAUGGGUAGAUCUCUCCUAAUGAGGGACGGUAUUGGCACCAACAAUAAAAGAACUGCAUUUAGCAGGGAAGAGGGUGAAUGCA